rnacentral:rRNA from 1 species
GACAGAGGGGGCAAGCGUUGCUCGGAAUUACUGGGCGUAAAGGGCGCGUAGGCGGGAUGGCAAGUCGGUCGUGAAAUCCCUCGGCUCAACUGAGGAGCGUCGAUCGAAACUGCCGUUCUUGAGGGUUGCAGAGGAGACUGGAAUUCCCGGUGUAGCGGUGAAAUGUGUAGAGAUCGGGAGGAACACCCGUGGCUAAGGCGGCUCUCUAGUACGGUACUGACGCUGGGACGCGAAAGCGUGGGGAGCGAACAGG